GACGAACGCUGGCGGCGUGCUUAACACAUGCAAGUCGAACGGUGAAGCGCAUUCCUUUUUGGUGGGUGUGGAUGAGUGGCGAACGGGUGAGUAACACGUGAGUAACCUGCCCCCUUCUUCUGGAUAACCGCAUGAAAGUGUGGCUAAUACGGGAUAUUCUGGGUCUGUCGCAUGAUGGGUCUGGGAAAGAUAUUGUUUCGGUGGGGGAUGGGCUCGCGGCCUCUCAGCUUGUUGGUGGGGUGAUGGCCUACCAAGGCGGUGACGGGUAGCCGGCCUGAGAGGGUGGACGGGCACACUGGGACUGAUACGCGGCCCAGACUCCUACGGGAGGCAGCAGUGGGGAAUAUUGCAAGAUGGGCGCAAUCCUGAUGCAGCGACGCCGCGUGAGGGAUGGAGGCCUGCGGGUUGUGAACCUCUUUCGCCAGUGAAGCAGUCCUGCCUCGUUUGUGGGUGUGUUGACGGUAGCUGGAUAAGAAGCGCCGGCUAACUACGUG
rnacentral:rRNA from 1 species